CCCUUAGAUGUUCUGGGCCGCACGCGCGCUACACUGAUGCAUUCAAUGAGUCUAAAACCUGCUCUGAUAGGGGUGGGUAAUCUUUUGAAUGUGCAUCGUGAUUGGGAUAGAUGAUUGCAAUUUUUCAUCUUCAACGAGGAAUGCCUAGUAAACGCAAGUCAUCAGCUUGCAUUGAUUACGUCCCUGCCCUUUGUACACACCGCCCGUCGCUCCUACCGAUUGAAUGAUCCGAUGAAUAUCAUGGAUUGAGGAUGCAAGUAGGUUCGCCUAUCUUCAUCUUCGAGAAGUGAAGUAAAUCUUAUCAUUUAGAGGAAGGAGAAGUCGUAACA
rnacentral:rRNA from 1 species